AAUUAAGAUGAGGACAGUCUCUGAUUAGCCCCUUGAACCUCUCCCAAGCCGAGUAUAAAGACUCCCCUGCUUUCUGUUUGAAGGCGACUAUCUUACUUCUGAUCU
rfam:Nicotiana attenuata strain TT chromosome 5, whole genome shotgun sequence.